GACUGUGCAAGGUAGCAUAAUCAUUAGUUUUUUAAUUGAAGACUAGAAUAAAUGGUUAAAUGAGAUAUUUAUUGUUUCUUUAUAUUUUUUAUUUAAUUUUAUUUUUUAGUUAAAAAGCUAAAAUAAAUAUUAAAGACGAGAAGACCCUAUAAAGCUUUAUAUUUUAAAAAAAAUUAUUAAUAAAUUAAUUUUAAAAAUUUUUAUUUAAAGAUAUUUUAUUGGGGUGAUAAAAAAAUUUAAUAAACUUUUUUUUAUUUUUCAUUUAUUUAUGUAUAAAUUAAUUAAAUAAAAAUUAGUUAUUUAUGAUCCAUUGUUAAUGAUUAAAAAUUUAAGUUACUUUAGGGAUAACAGCGUAAUUUUUUUGGAGAGUUCAAAUUAAUAAAAAAGAUUGCGACCUCGAUGUUGGACUAAGAGUUAAUUUUAGGUGUAGAAGUUUAAAAUUUUAAGUCUGUUCGACUUUUAAUUCUUACAUGAUCUGAGUUCAAACCGGUGUAAGCCAGG
rnacentral:rRNA from 1 species